GCGCCGGUGGUGUAAGGUGUGGCAUCGCAGCCCGGAAAGCAGAAGGCGCGGGUUCGAGCCCGGCCUGGCGCU
rfam:Heligmosomoides polygyrus genome assembly, scaffold: HPBE_scaffold0014918